rnacentral:rRNA from 1 species
AUUGAACGCUGGCGGCACGCCUUACACAUGCAAGUCGAACGGUAACGGGUCCUUCGGGAUGCCGACGAGUGGCGAACGGGUGAGUAAUAUAUCGGAACGUGCCCAGUAGUGGGGGAUAACUGCUCGAAAGAGCAGCUAGUACCGCAUACGACCUGAGGGUGAAAGGGGGGGAUCGCAAGACCUCUCGCUAUUGGAGCGGCCGAUAUCAGAUUAGAUAGUUGGUGGGGUAAAGGCCUACCAAGGCAACGAUCUGUAGUUGGUCUGAGAGGACGACCAGCCACACUGGGACUGAGACACGGCCCAGACUCCUACGGGAGGCAGCAGUGGGGAAUUUUGGACAAUGGGCGCAAGCCUGAUCCAGCAAUGCCGCGUGCAGGAGGAAGGCCUUCGGGUUGUAAACUGCUUUUGUCAGGGAAGAAAUCUUCUGGGCUAAUACCCCGGGAGGAUGACGGUACCUGAAGAAUAAGCACCGGCUAACUACGUGCCAGCCGCCGCAGUAA